AAUCCUCCAAUUUGUAAGUCGCUCUGGAUAAGAGCGUCUGCUAAAUGACGUAAA
rfam:Salmo salar isolate Sally breed double haploid chromosome ssa19, whole genome shotgun sequence.